rnacentral:lncRNA from 1 species
UUAGGUUCCAAAGACUGAGGGCUCACCCUGACCAAUAAAAAGUCUCAGAUUUUGUUCCUGUUCUUUCUGCUUUUAUAUGAGUUUAAAAUAAAGUGAUUUGGGGAGUUGGUAUUAGAAAAUUAUCUGAUUGUUCCAGGAGCUGACAGAAAAUAUUCUGGGCUAAAUAAAACAUGUAUAGGUCUCCAAAAUAAAAAAAUAGGAACAAAAGCUGGGACCUCCUGGUCUUUUAAAUUCAUCUGGAUGUGACUUUAAAAACCAGCAGCUACUGAUGGUCACUCUUACCCGCAUUGCAUCCCUCAAUUUAUUUCUCACUUUGCUUCUCAGUCCCUUUUCCUAGUUAUUCUUUCUUGCCUGCUGCUAGCUCAUGCAUUAAGUCCAAAUUCCAGAACAAGGCAGCCACCUUCUGGAGCAUUUAUCAGGCCAAUUAAGCUGAUUUGUACAAUUACAUUCCGAAUCGACUCACCACUACUGCGUUGAUAUCAGAACCACCAGCCGUAAGAGUUUAGCUUUUUUCUGACACUUUAGAUUCUACCACAACAACACAUUAAUUUAUUCUUUAGGGAUGGAAUUCAUAAUAGAAGUUAUGCAUAAUCUACAGAAUGAGUUCAUAACUGAUUCAUAUUCAUGAUUCCUCCAUAGCCAAUAGUGAAAGAAAUACAUAGGGAUCAUACAAGUCUCUCUAUCCUAACCUAGCAGUGGCCACUGUGAGUGAUGGCGGCAUCUGUUCUUCGUUGAUCAGGACGUAGCAAACUGAUUCUUUCACCCUCCUCCUGCAAGUGAAUUCCAUUGUGAGGAGGAAUUGUGGCAGAGUUCUGACUUCUGCCUGUUUCACUGGAUUUUGCUCAUGGAAAAAGGUGGAAAUGUCAGUCUGCUGCUGCAUCCUGUUGGGGGGAACAGAGUCCUGUUGCUUACUACAGGCUCUGGCAAAUAAUUCAAACUUGAGGAUACACUAAUUAGCUAUGUGAAAUAGGUACAUGGCUAAUCCUGAAGAAUCUUGGUCCCAAAUUAAUUUUGGAGCCUCCUUCUUUAUAAGAUGAUUUUCAUCAUCUAAUAAGUAAAGUCUUACCAGACGGAAGCUGCAACAGAGUGGGACUUUGUAAUGUAAUGUUCUUCCCUUAUGCUCCAAACAAUAAUACCUGAUAGGGACUACUACAUUGCCCUCUACAGAUAAAGAAGGAAAAUAUAUUUCUCAAGCUGACAUGUGGACUGGACACAUAUUCCAUUGAAGUUUCAUAAAAGUCAUUUUUAAUUUGAUAUUUUUACCUUUCUAUCUGAACUAGUAACAUAGAUCUCUUCCACUGAAUAACAAUUUAACUGGAUAAGAAAAGAGAUGGCAAAGUGCAUGUACAGAAGACCUAGAAAUAAAAUAACAAACUCUUGCUCUUUCAUUCUGUGCUUUCCUCCAAAUUUUCAAUACAGAUUUUAAAACUAAAAUAUCAUUAUGCACAUAUUUAAAAUUAAUAAUUUGAAGCAAUUAUGUAGGAAACAUGCUAAUAUGCAAGAAUAAAAUAACCUUCAAUAGAGAAAAUCUGCAAAGAAAGCAACUCUUGGUAGAAACACUUCUCCCUGCACAGAAAAGCUUGGAAAACUAUUUUUAAAAGGUAAUUUCCAUUUGCCUGAUGUUUCAAAAACAGUUCAUUCUUGUUACUCCUUAGGGUGACACAAACAUAUAGAUUGCAACAUUACUUGUGCUGCUCAACUCUUAUUUAUUUAUUUAUUUAUUUUAUUUGUAGUAUUUAUAUGCCAUCCUUCUCAACCCCGAAGAGGACUCAGGGCGGGUCACAGUGUUGGCAACUGGGGUCAGUACUUUAGGGUUCUCUUGAAUAUACUAGGCUUUCACCUUUCACCACGCUACUCAACAAGGGGAUUGUUCAUUUUUUGAUAAGAGUGAACAUGUGCCUUCAAGUUGUUUCUGACGUACAACACCCUAAGUUGAAAUUAUCAUGGGUUUUCAGGGACUGAAAAUAUUGGACUACCUCAAGGUCACCCAGUG